UGGGGGAAUAUUGGGCAAUGGGCGCAAGCCUGACCCAGCAACGCCGCGUGAAGGAAGAAGGCUUUCGGGUUGUAAACUUCUUUUGUCGGGGACGAGUAGAAGACGGUACCUGGCGAAUAAGCCACGGCUAACUACGUGCCAGCAGCCGCGGUAAUACGUAGGUGGCAAGCGUUGUCCGGAUUUACUGGGUGUAAAGGGCGUGUAGCCGGGAAGGCAAGUCAGAUGUGAAAUCCACGGGCUUAACUCGUGAACUGCAUUUGAAACUGAAGUUCUUGAGUGCUGGAGAGGCUAACGGAAUUCCUAGUGUAGCGGUGAAAUGCGUAGAUAUUAGGAAGAACACCAGUGGCGAAGGCGGUUAGCUGGACAGUAACUGACGCUGAGGCGCGAAAGCGUGGGGAGCAAAC
rnacentral:rRNA from 1 species